UUUCAACGAACGUGUUAAAUUAACAAUGAAGCAUAAAUAUAAACGUAUUUAAUUUAACUGUCCCAACCUAUUAUUGUAUGCUUGCCAUAGGUUAAACAAGUUAUUGGUAGGCCCAACCCUCAGACGGUUUAGUGAUUGUUACACACUCUUCAAUUAUUAGGUAUUUAGAUGGUUUGUGCAUUUAAAUGGACUGCUAAAAAGCUAGAAAGUCAAAAUUACAGAAUAUUAAGAAUAAGCUGUUUUAUAUAAUAGUUAAAGCUAAUUAAUUACUAAACAAAAUGGCUACCUACUUCAAAUUUAUUUGUUAAUCAAUAUGGACAUAAUCUUAUCAUCAAUUAUAAGUUUAAAUCCAAGAACAUAACUAUUAGAAGGUCAAAAAAAAAUACCAAGAAACAUUAUAACAGUUUAAUAUCAGUACUUCUUUUCAUGAGAAUAGACAAUGCUGGAAACAAGUACAUUAAAAAAAAAAAUUCACUUUUCUCUCAUCUUUCCAUAGUUGAUUGUACUUGCAUGAAACAUAUUCAACACCAAGGAUUUAAGUUCCGGGGUGGAUGGCGGGGCAUCCCACUGUCAGAGUGUCAAGAUGGGCACUGGGAAGGGAUGGGGCAUCCUGAAUGUCAAGAUUUGGUGCAUCCCAUUGCACAGAAAAACCAGAACGGUCUCAUCUCAUAGGAUUUCAAUCCUUGUUAACAUUAUAUAUCGUCUUGAAAGAAAAACAAAAAUGAACAAUGAACACUUUAGAUCAUGUUAGAUAUUAUAUAUAAUAUGUUAUUUUAAUUAUAAAAGUAAGAGUACAUCAUUUAGAGAAUUCCACAUGUAAAAUUUUUCAAAACAAAUGCAAGAUGAUCAUUUAGUUAGUUAAGCUAAUAAAAUGUCCGCUUAAGCAUCUAAACAGUUAUUUAAACAACUAAAAAAACUAACUACUUAAGCAGUCACUCCUUAAAAUGGUUAAGAGUUAUAUAGCUGUUCAAGUAGCAGCUUCAAUGCAUAAGUGAGUGUUUAUGAUGACAU
rnacentral:lncRNA from 1 species